rnacentral:rRNA from 1 species
AACGAACGCUGGCGGCAGGCCUAACACAUGCAAGUCGAACGAACUCUUCGGAGUGAGUGGCGCACGGGUGAGUAAUGCAUGGGAAUGUACCCUUCAGUCUGGAAUAACCACGGGAAACUGUGGCUAAUACUGGAUAUUCUCGAGAGAGGAAAGAUUUAUCGCUGAAGGAUCAGCCCAUGUCAGAUUAGCUUGUUGGUGAGGUAAUGGCUCACCAAGGCUCCGAUCUGUAGCUGGUCUGAGAGGAUGAUCAGCCACACUGGAACUGAGACACGGUCCAGACUCCUACGGGAGGCAGCAGUGGGGAAUAUUGGACAAUGGGCGAAAGCCUGAUCCAGCCAUGCCGCGUGUGUGAUGAAGGCCCUAGGGUUGUAAAGCACUUUCAACGGUGAAGAUAAUGACGGUAACCGUAGAAGAAGCACCGGCUAACUUCG